rnacentral:sRNA from 1 species
UAAUACUAAUAUUUAGCUAACGAGAUAAUAUAGACGGGUUUAUAUGGGAUGACGGGUUUUGAUCGAUAUUAAUAAAGAAAGGUAUAUCACGGAUGAAAUCGUAAAAUUU